GUCGAGAAUCUUUCACAAUGGGGGCAACCCUGAUGGAGCGACGCCGCGUGGAGGAUAAGGUCUUCGGAUUGUAAACUCCUGUCAUGCGUGAACAAGGUUGCUUGGUUAAUACCUGGGCAAAUUGAUGGUAACGCAAGAGGAAGAGACGGCUAACUCUGUGCCAGCAGCCGCGGUAAUACAGAGGUCUCAAGCGUUGUUCGGAAUCACUGGGCGUAAAGGGUGCGUAGGUGGCGUGGUAAGUCAGAUGUGAAAGCCCGGGGCGCAACCUCGGAACUGCAUCCGAUACUGCCAUGCUAGAGUACUGGAGAGGUGACUAGAAUUCUCGGUGUAGCAGUGAAAUGCGUAGAUAUCGAGAGGAAUACCAAAGGCGUAGGCAGGUCACUGGACAGUUACUGACACUGAGGCACGAAGGCCAGGGGAGCGAACGGGAUUAGAAACCCUGGUAGUCC
rnacentral:rRNA from 1 species